AGGGCGUCAUCAGCAGCGAUCUUUUUGGUUUGCGCUCGGUGUGUGAGUAAAUCCAGCUGGUCGUUUGUUCGAUUUUGGCCCAUUUUCUCUUGGUUUUGUCAUCAGGAAAGUCUUUUCUGGCAUAAGUGUCGGUUUAGGUUUGCGUGAUUUGUAUUUCUGGUUGAUAAUUUGUGAUUCAAGGAGUGACUUACGUGUUUCUACACUAUUUCUUUGUUGUUGACAUCAAAAAUGUUUUCUAAGCAACAUGAUGUCCGACUUUUCUGCAAGCAAACGUCACUUUUUUUGUCAACAUUUGAGUCUCUACACCAUAACAAGAUAACCAAUUUUCUUCAAUUAGACAAUUGUAGAUUAACACUGACUAUAGACCGUGUGGUAGGGCUUACUUGAGUAUGACUUUAUUCUGUCUGUAGGCGUUUUUAGUCGACACAGCAGGAUGGGGAGUAAAAAUAAUCUUGAAGAAGAAGCUGAACAAAAUUCCAUUUGUAGCCUAUGUAAUGUCUCGAAGAAUCAAGUUGAGUUGUCAUGGGUCAGUGUCUGGUGAAUUACUAAAAGAAAGUAAAUUUGUUAUGUGGGCUUGUCCACUGCGGAAGGUUUUUACCAAGAGUGUGGCCAGUCUCGAACCGGUACCCAAGCCAACUUCGUUCAAGCGCAAGAGAAUCAAGCAAAAAAUGUGAUAAAAAGCAACAAUGAUUUGUAAAUCAUGAUACAAUUGAGACAUCUUGCAUACUUUGAAGACUGCCAAGUUCAAUAAGAGGGACACUCGAGUCUUGGAUUUUGCAAAUUCUAAUUGAUGAUGCCCUAGGUGAUACAGUCUACAAUUUCAGAGUUCUGGUUUAAGUAUUGCACCUUCAGAAGUUCAGUUCUACACAAGCGUUCGGUAAUCUUAUUAUUUUAUUUUGUUUUGUUACUUCAACCUCUGGAUAAGUUUAGCCAACAGAAACAUUGUGAGUUAACAGUUAUUGAAUGUGAAAAAAAUAUCAUCCAACAAUUGUAAGCACAACGUGCAGCAUCAUUUUAAGCAUGAAGAAUACAGCAGUUAAACACCAGAUUCAAGAUACAAGAACAAUUUUUUGUAAAAUGUGUCACCAUUAUUCCACCCGGAAGGGAAGGGUUUUGUUUCGUGUGUUUUCUUUUUCGUAGUUUCUCAAAGCCAGGAAGAAAUGCUGCAAGUCUACCUGCUUAAUCACUCAUGAACAUGGAAAUAAACACAAGAUGAUUGGUCCUAGUGGAGCACUCGCACGCUAAAAAAGGUCAAGAUUCACUGAAGAAACAUGCCAGAAAAUGGAUACCACAAGAAUCGUAAAUAUUCACUGAAAAGGAUGAAUCCGUUGUGUCGAAGGAAAUUCCAGAGCGUUGUUUUAUAAAUUUCAGAUUGGAGUGUUUCAGUUCAAGGGAUGUGUUCCAGUUGUUUAACCAUUCAUGAGAGAUGUGGCUUGGGGCGUUUUCUUUUUUUCUUUCUAUCGAGUGUCGUUUUGUAUACAGAUGACUUCGCUGUUCUUUGGUGUGUACAACUCGGAUACUGAGCGUCAAUUCGUGGUACCAGUUUCCCUGACAGUCGCUGAUGUGUAUAAACUUUGCCAAACAGGUUCUUUAAAAAAUUAAAUUAAACCCGAAAGUCUACAAUUUUAUCGUUUAUUGAAAAACAAAUCUUUACAAUCACUCAAUAUUCUACAACCACCACAACAAAAAAUAAUUUGAAUCAGUAACAAGUUAAAAGCUGAUUAUCUAGCAAAGAUUUUUGACGUUUUUCAUCAUAUAAUAUUCAAAUGGAUAAUGUCUGAAUAUGCUUGACCAACGAGUCGUCACUCAAUAAGCUUGUGCUAUUGUAGGUUUUGGUUUGUUUUCCCCCUUUUAAGUCUUUGUGUUAUGUAGAUUUCUCAACCACCGUCGACAUGAAAGGCAAGCUGCAUGCAUUCAAUUCAACAUAAAGACUCUUCACGCUCGUGGGCAAGAACUAAUCGAAACCUCGUAAACCCGCGUGCACAGAAUAUGGUAACGGAAUUGCAUUGUUUUUAAAGGUCAAAAUCUUUAAAAGUAUCUGUUUUUUGCAUGAAAAAUAUGCAUUAUCCCUGUUAAUGAUGAAAGGAUAUUUUAAUCAAUUUUAUUGAUUGUGGUCCACUUUUUAAAUCUUGGCACUUUAAGAUUCUAUAGUUGACACAUUUUUGUGAUACAUCAAAUGGUGUGCUUUGCCAUGGACGUUUUUCCCCCUCCCUGUGUUUUCUCCCAGUGUUAGAGCUGUAGGUUUUGGCUGCUCGGCUACCCGGCUGUCCAGAUAUGAAUGCGCCCUAAAACCUUGAAGGUGUACCUGUAUGCCACAACGCUUGUGAAAUACCCUUAAAACAGUAAGAUCAUGCGAGUUUCAAUAAUAAAAAAAAUGCUUAAAAUAAAAAAAUUAAAAAUAUUUUCUUAAAUUGCCAAUGUGAAUUAAAUUAUAACUUAAAUUUACUUAAUUAGGGAAAUCUUGCUUGUGUUAGGUUUUUUUCCAUCCCUUAUUGAGUUUUGAAUGUAGGUCGGUGGUUUGAUUGAAAUAGAUGCUCAGGAUUUCAUCGCGAGUUCAACUUGGUCUCUUCUGCUAACCAAAGACAAGCUCUCAAUGUCUCCAGCUGUAAAAACGUAGUGUUCGCACCGCAUUUGAAAGGUUUUUUUUUUUAAAUGAAAACUGCAUUUAAUCGAGUAAUUUAUGUAAACUGCAUCUACAUGUAAUUUGUGACAAAGCUCAAAACAAGCUGCAAUUUCAUGGAAUUUCAAUGGCUGAUUUGAUAUGAAAAUAACCCGGUAGAGAUAGGAGUUGUUGUAGACAGAUUUCUUCCCCCCUCUCAAAUUUUAAAUGUAGGUCUACAUUUGGACAGAAAAAGUACCUCGAUAUCAUCAUGCCAUCAAACUUCAAGGUCACAUACCAAGUUUGCAAGAUCGUUGGCUGGGUAGUUCUUGUGGAGUAGGAUCACAUUUGAAAGGUUUUUUAUUUAUUUCCUGCUGGAUCACAUCAAGGUUCAAAGAAAAUACUGCACCAAUUUAUCACUAUGAAAACUAAAAGCAAUCAUGAAGACAAGACGCUUAGUGUACUGCAAAACAUCUAAAUCAACUCCAAGAAGUUCAAAGUCAAAAAUUUGAUAAUUGUCGUGAUUUUGUGAGCAUUACAGCAAGGACAGAAUAUGAUAAAGUCAACUAGCAUCAAUUGCAAUUUACUCGUGUGUAGUGUACUUCCAUUGGUCGUUUCCUUGGGAUAUGUUUUGUGUUUUUCUGCUUUCCAUCCACUUUUAGAAUUGCUGCUACAUGUAGAUGUACAUAAUGCGCAUGAAGAUAGCGUCAUUCUGUUGAUCCGUCUUUUCCUGUCAAAAGUCUUGAAAUCCUCUGCCAAGAUCCUGUUCAAGUAAAACCAAGGAUAAAAGAAAGAAGACAAAUGCCAAGGAUCAUAUUCAAGUAAAGUUAAGGAUUAAAGAAAGAAGAAAAAACCAAGAACCCAAGUUCAAGAAAAGCUAAGGAAUGGUUAAAGAAAGAAAAGAACUGCCAAGAACCGAGUUGAGCUCAGGAUUAAAGAAAAAUGUCAAGAACCAAGUUCAAGUAUAGCCAUGGACAAAAGAAAAAGAAGAAAAAUGCCAAGAACCAAGUUCAGGUAAAGCUAAGGAUAAAAGAAAAAAAGAAAAAGGAAAGAAUUUGAACCUUGUAUCUCAUUGAUAAGUGGAGUUAAUCUCCAUGGACUAACGCCAAAAGUAACAGACUUUGUAUGACAACUACCAACAGCCAAGACAAAAGUAUUCUCAUGGUUAAGAUGUGGACCCUUAAAGGAAAUACUUGUAUGAUCAAGUUCGACCCUGUAUGUACAUGACAACUAACAACAGCAAAGACGAAAGUAUUUGGCAUCAUGUUUGGAAUUUCAUUUGGUUUUGGAAGUUGUGCACAUGUGUAAUUUAGGUUAGGGCUUCACAUAACCCGUUUUGUUUUUGUACCUAAUAAACCUCAUCCAGAACUCGUAAGUCUGCUCGCACACUGUUCAUCGUGAAGAAAUUAGCAUGGAUUGAUCACCAUACGUUAACCACCUGCUUCCUCCAAACCUCUCGUGUCACACACACCAUUGAUGACUAAUCGAAUCUCUCCUUAUGUAUGGUCUCCACUGUCGCCUUCUACAACCACACACUUCUUCAGCUUUUGGGUGAAUCUGUUGCAUUUUAGUUGUGUUCAAGAAAGAACUUUCGAUGUUUUUAGUUUUCUUUUUGAUCUACCUUUUUGAAUAUUUCACCAUUUCGCUCUAACCUCAUUUUUGGCUGACAACUCUUGUGUUCAUGAUAAAAUUGAUUGUAGGUUUUCCACCAGCGUGUAGGGUAUUUUUGUUUUCCCCCUGCUUUUGCAAUAACCCAGGUGGUUCUUUUGUGAUGAUCUGCGCUGCUGUGUUUCUCGUUUUAUCCGUUUUUCAACCCGCCAACCAACCAGUAUACAGCUACAUGCUUUGGCACUCUCCAUUUUCACAAAGAUAAUGCCUUCGUUAUGCAACCAACAUUCUCUGUCUCUAAUCAAGUGUACUCCCCUGCACAUCAUCUGGCUAAUAGUCGGUAGUAGUGACGGUAAAGCAUUUUCCUUCUUCCAAAGUUCAUUAGUAGAUUGUUUUCUUUAAUUUAAGUCCCACUUCUUUCCACUAAAAUAUCUGUAAGAAAAACGCUUUUAACUAUUAACAGUUGUAGAUCAAUUUUGUCAGUUGUACCCACUCUCAACCUGCAAUAACAGUCCUAUCAUUUGAAAAAGAAUUUAUUCUUUCAAUUUAUCUUGUAUCACAGAAUGAAUGCACCCAAGCACCUGUUAAAACUUGUUUAACAUUUCUGUUAAGGGCUCCAACCUUUGCAUGUUAACUUACCAAUCAACUGAAUUUCAAUGGUGCUAUAUUUAAAAGUGAAUGUUCUUCAAACGUUAUGGGUUAGUUUGCAAUUGAGAUUAACACUUGCCAUUGUUUAGCAAUUAGGGUAGCUAGGGGACACCUUUUUGUGUUUGCAUUUUGUUAUCAUACAGCUCUCAAGCAUUUGCACCAUGUGAAAGCAUCUCAAGAAAAUGCAUCGUCCAGCGGUUUACAUCUACUCACUGCUCUCGUACCAUUUGUUUACAUCAGGUCCACCUUCAGUUAAACGUUUGGCUCCACUUUGAGUCCUGUCAUGCUUUUCGUCAGGUGAUUUUGUUAACCUACCUCGUUGCGUUAUAGCUUCUUAGCAUCAACAAUUUUGCCUAACCAAAAUGCACGUUCAUCAAAGAUUGCUUACUCUGUUAAAGUAAUUUACUUCUUGCUUGAUUAUUUGGAGAGUAUUCAGAUAAAAAGGUGACAAUAGACUUACUGUUCCUUUUGCUUACUAAAAUCUGAGCAAUGUUCAGAGCAAUGGUUUAUCUGCUGCCACUUGGCAACCUGAAGUCUCUCAGUUUGACGUCUGUUUUGGUUUAAUUUCAUUAUUUUUUGGUUAAAAUCAAAUGUUUUUUAUGUUUUAAUACUUGAUCAGCGUCUGCUUCAGUUUUGUGGGUUUUUUCGCGUUUUUUUUUCUUUUUUUUUUUUUUCCUUCCUCCCAUUUUCUUUUUGCAUCUCUGUAGGUAAAUGAUCUAGUGUCUGGGAUAGGUGGAUUUUCACAGGCUUUUGUAUCACGACGGGUUAAUACCCAAGUAUCAUCAGUUGCCCUACGAGUUAAUUUGAGCGCUGUACUUUUUGACACAGGUGACUUGUUAUCAUCAAAAUAAUUGUUUAGAUUGAGUCUUGUAGUGAAGUAAUAGUGAUGUUGUAUGAUAAAAACCGAGAUGCGUAUGUGUGUACAUGGUACAUUGCCAGGAAUUCAACCAAUACAUUUUUAAAAAGGAUUCAAAAUUACUGAAAGAUUUUUAUCUCUGAGUGUAUUUCUCUGAAUUUAAAAGGAAAUUAAUGUCGGGUUAACUUACAUGUGAAGUUCGAAUAGCGACUGUGGUUGUUGUUUUGGGGUUUUGAGGGAAGGGCGAGAUAAUCUGUUUUUUCUUUCCAGAAAUAAUAGUUUGCCAUUUUGCUGGCCUGGUUGAGAUAAGUUGUGAUUUCAGCACCUGGAAUUCUUUGGUGUGAGUUGGCAUAAACUCGUGUCUCCCAAGUCGUGGUCCACUGUGAAGCAAGGGUUAGAUAAGAUUUGUAUGUUUACCUAUUUACCCCUCCCUCUUGUGAUAUUCAAAUGGAUUUAAAUUCGACCCCUAUGCUUGAUUAACGCUCAUUGAUUUAAUGAUAAAGCAACUUAAAUGAAUAACUUAAAUUUGUGUGUACAAAGUACCCGGUUUUAUUUUCACGCCAUUGUUUUUAAUAAAAUUUCAGAUUAUCUAUGAUAAAAAUGUUAAAAAUGAAAGCGCGUUGUAACUAUAAUUGUUUUAGACUAGGGAAGGGCGGAAUAAUGUGUUAUUCUUUUCCAGAGUCCGAGCUCAGCUACUAUUGUUGUGAUCCCCACUUGGUUUAAGAUUCGUGGAAGUGUGAUGGUGCAAGUGUGAAAAGCACAGGCAAGUGGUGUAGUCGUGGAUCUGAUUGUUUUGUUGCCAUGUUUUUGGCCAUUAAUUUGGUAAACACUCAGUGUUUUGUGCCGGAUAUCCAUUGAAAAAACUUGUGAUUGUAACAAAUAAGUUGUACUCAACAUUUGUAAAAGCUAACUGAGCUUAUCAGUGGGUUGGUGAUAAACUGAGUUGUUGGUGGGUUUGGGUGGUUAACUGAGUAUUAGUUCGUUGUGUUUUGGGCUUGGGAUUGGGGUGUUUUUCUUCCUCCUUACAGAUAGAACUCCUGUACACGCUAAAGUCCCGUAUAGAAUAAAGAAUUGGAUCUUCAGAAUCUGAAUCCGAGAGGGACAAAUUGCUCUGUAUCGUCAAUAAGGAAUGAAACCCAGUAAAGUCCAUAAGAGAUCACCACGCAAGAUUCGACUCUCGCAGCAUUAGUUUGCAAGCAUCAUUUCAAGAAUCCUCGCUCAUGUUGUACCAGUUUCUCUAUGCAUUUGAUCGUCCCAUCAAGCCCAGUAAAUGUGAGACCCCUCAAGAGCAAAUUGCAAGUUGGUUGGCCCAACUGUUUACACCAAUGACCUUUUUCCCAAGUCUGAGACUUUUUCAAGCAAAAAGUAAGUUCUUGAUUAUCAAUUGCAUUUCAACUCAUGAACGCUUGCAUAAAAUUUAGGUUUGGGGUGACUUGUAUUGGGGUAAAUCUUUUCUUGCAUCACAACUUGAAUAUUGAAGCAAGUUUCAGCGCCAGGGAUUUGUCUAUGCUUUUUGUAUACAUGUGUUAAUCGGUGGCGUAAUUGUGGUCUACUAUAAUUAAUGUAGGUGUUUUCUUCAAGAUUUGAGAUUAAUUGUGUUUAACAUGUGUUACUGUAAUUUGUUGUGAAACAUUUGUGUGUACGGUUCCAGAAUGGACGGGGAGAGGGGUGGGGUUAAGUUUUCAGGUCUAUUUUUAAUUGCAGAUUAUAGAAAAGAAUUGCUGAGCGGAUCAUUGUGUGCAAGUUCUGUUACUUCAAAUGUGAUACAUGUUCUACGAUUGUAAAAGCGUGAAUUGUACGAAAGGUAUUUCCCGUGUUGUCCAAAUCCCAACAUCCCGUAAUGAUUUGCUGUAGAUGAUGAAAAUGUAUCGGAAAUUUAGUAAGAAAUAUGAAUGCUUAAUGAAGGGUGAACAGUAGAUAAUACUGAGGAGUGGUUUGUUUGUAAUGAAAUGGGGGGAAAAUGGAAAUAAUUUACAGUUGAAAAAUAAGCACGUGUCGGUGAUAGAUCUUCACAAAAAAAAUGGUGUUUAAGGUGUACAUGUAUGCAAAACUAUCAAGAUGCAUUGAAAAAUUUGAGAGGAAAAGAUUGGAGGGAAAAUUUUUGUGUUCAUAAAAGUUGUGGGAAAAAUAGUUUGCUUGUAAUUGGGUAACAUGUGGGAAAAGAUUUUGUUUGUCUUGAGUUGCAGAUGGAAAAAGCUGGUGUAAAUCUUACUGCGCCCAUGAAAUGAGAUGAUGGUUUAAAGUAAAAGCUUCUUAGGUUUGGUGAGAAUUUUCUGGUUACCGUUUGUGGUUGAAAUUCUUAAAGUGGGAUAAAGUGUUAUUAAAUGAUGGGGAAAUUGUUUCUGACCGAUAGAAUAUAACCGCUAUGUAAAGUGUUGUGGUUGGGUUUUUGUAAGCAUGGGGAUGGAAUAUGUUUCAGUACAGUUGCAUUGCAGAUACGGAUGAAAAUGUGGCGUUGCUGGAUGACGUUUGUGCAAAUUUUUGACUGAUCGUGUCGCCGUGCUGCUAAUUACUUUGUAACGGAGAAUGUGCUUGCAUCGCUUGGUAGGAAGUCAUUUUAUAAUUUAUCUGAAGACCAUAACUCGAUAAAAUUGAAAAUUGUUUUUCAAAAUGUUGAAAAUUGUUUUUCAAAAUGAAUUCUAAGAAUGUAAAUGCAUGGUCAAGUGAAUUUGUUUUUCUUAACAAAUGCAUGUGUGCGAAAGCCACUUGUUGGCGCAAUAGGGAAAAGAAUGCCUUGUUUUGUUUUAAAGCUACAGAUUGCAAGGGAAGCUUCACUCCCAUUCGUAAAGCAUACACUCCAGCUAUUUGGUCUCUUCCUAGCAUUGGCAUCUUGGAUGGUUAGGACAUGGUUUCUAGUACACGCUGACACAUGCCGAGGUUCCCAACUGAGGUCUUGUAUGGUUGUUCAUGUAAAUUUUUCAAUUGAAUUUUUCAAAUAAUUGUGCUGAAUUGCAUGGCUAUUGGGUGCUUUCUUGGGGGGAGUUUUUUUCUAUCUUUAACAGAUGCAGUAAACAUCCAUGAUACAUUGAUAUUUUCCGGGAGUGAAGGCUAAUUCAACCCAUUUCACAUUGGGGGAAGGUUUGACCCUACGAUGCCUGUUAGAAUCGUGCAGUAAUAAAAAUCUACCUCUAGCUUAUUCACUUGAAUGCCCAUGCAAAGAGUUUGAUGUGGAUGGACCUAGUGCAGGGAUAAAUGAUGGUGGAGGGUGAAAUUCAACCGAAGGGCGUAGUGCGAUGGGAACCUGGAAUGAGUGGGGACCAGUGAAAUACAUAGAGUACUUAAGCUGACCAGUGACCAAGAACUUAAGGAAUGUGACUGCAAAUGACAUAGUGAAGAUCAGAGGAAGAUAGCCUGGCCACUUUCUCUUUUGCUUUUGAUUCCUUCGUGCUGUGUGAGGUCACCUGCCUACCCCACUUCAAGUUUUGUUGACAGAGAGAAGUGGGGUACGCAAGACGUCACAUGGUUUUGAAGGUAGACACAUGCUAAUGUAAAGGGAAAGCGGUCUGGUUGUUUUAACUUGAUGUGCUGUUUUGAGAUGAGUGGAGUAGACUGUCGAGACUGAUAACGAAGGAAAAGACGGGCUGGUGCGCGGACGAGGGGAUUGACAAAAGAGUGAGGUAAUUGGGCCACUGCAGGAGGGAUUAAGCUUAGGAGAGAUACAAACCAGCGCAGGACCUAGACAGGACCGGAGACCUUGACAACACCUGACGUGGACGACGAUUGGCUCGGAUGGAGGAUGGCUGAGGGACGUGAAACUGGACGGAGUGACAAGGAACCUGGACAGAGGGACGAGGAACCUGGACUGGAUGAACGAGGGACAUGGACAACGGAUGACCUAAACGGUGGAUCGGCGAUGGACCUGGACGGAAAUGACGAGGGACCUUGACGACAGAUGACCUAGACGGAAGAUCAACGAUGGAGGAGGACGAGGGACCUGGACAGAGGAUGAACGAGGGACACGGACGACCUAGACAGGAGGAUUGGCGAUGGACCCAGACGGAGGAGGAAGACAAGGGACCUGGACGACAGAUGACCCAGACAGGAUCGACGAUGGACCUAAAUGGAGGACGAGGGACCUGGACGACCUAGACGGAAGAUCGGCGAUGGACCUGGACAGAGGAUGGAUGACAGACGACCAAGACCGAGGAUCAGCGAUGGACCUGGACGGAGGACGACGAGGGAUCUGGACCUGGACAGAUGACCUAGACAGGAGGAUUGGCAAUGGACCUUGACAGAGGAGGUUGAGGGACCUGGACGACAUGCGACCUAGACGGAGGAACGACGAUGAAUCUAAAGGGAGGACGACGAGGGACCUGGACUGAGGAGGACGAGGGACUUAGACGGAGGAUGUAGUGACAGGGGAACUGGACAGUGGGAAGGGCGUCGGACAACUUGGAGGCGUGGGAACUUGCAGCUAAUCAAAGGGUAUCCAUGAAUAAGACUGACAAAUGUUCAUUGCUUUUGAGUUAAGCCAAAAUGAUUACAAAGUACAAAAAUGCAAAAUAUCUGACCUAAUUAUUAAAUCCAGGUUCUUAAAAAUCUGCAUUUUGAAAAAAAGUCAAAAAGAAUUUAAAAAAAUUAAAGAAACAAAAAUUUGAUACUAAUAUUUACACCGGACAAAAAAAGAAAAAUGUGAUUGAAAAAAUCAAUAUAUCGAGCAUUUUUGAAAGACAUCAUUUACUUUGUAAUUCACUGAUAAUAUCAGGUCACCUACUUACUCUAAACUGAAAGUUUAACUUAUGGUCGAAAAUACCUUGACUAUUAUAAUGGCAGAAAAUAUUUGUCAUUCAACUUACUAAAACCAAUUAAGUUGAUAUAAUUAAAAACAUUAAGUGAGUACCAGAUUAUCUUUUUUAAAACAAAUCUUUGAAUGAAACAAUUUAUCAUGUUACAACUAGAUGUACUUUAAAAAACCCUUGCCAACAAUUUUUGAAUUCCAUUUGUUGAAUCUUUUCUGAGAACUGACAUUUACAGUACUCAUUUUGUUAUUUAACAUUCCUUUGAAACUGGCAAUCUGAUUGUGUUACUAUAAAAACAAUAUGACCACACUAGCUGCAUAUGAAACUAUUCAGUGGGCAUCGUAGUAACUUGUAACAUACAUAGAUAACAUUAUUUUAAAUCAGAGGAUAGAUUGAUUUAAUUACAAAAUAUUUUGAAAUAAAAAUCCAACUUUAACACUCAAAAAAUGUGGGUGGAAUCGGCCGGCUAUAAGGGGAGAUGAGGAGGCCGGUUUUUCAGGACAAAUUUCUAAACAAAAACAAGCAUUUUAAUGAAGAAAAAAAUACACUGCUGUUCAUAGUAUCUCAAUUUGAAACAAACGGCAUCAACAUUUAUGAAAUUUUACUUUUAGAAACUAUCGAUGUGAAAAUGAUCAUUUAAAAAAACAAAAUCACACACAAAAAGAAGUCAAAAUGUAAAGUGAACAUCUCGUGAAUCAAAAGAUACUCGAUUUGAUAUGCCGAAAGGUAUACAUUGUACAUGUCCAUGUAAAAAGUUAUUUUAUUUAUCAAAUUCAAAAAAAUGUUUCAAGUGAUCACAUGCAUAUUUUUUAGAUAAUUGCCUUGUACAUUUUGGUUGUGUAUUUUGUUUUAAAAAUGUCGGAAAUAUUACUGAAAAUGGUACACUAAUCACCAUUUCAAUGAUAUUAGAUACACUGUAUUUACCUUGUUUUAUAAAUUAUUAUGGUUUAUUGGUACCUCUAAUCACAUUUAUCUUCUAUUGGUUUUUCUCCUAUUCUCUGAAAAGGAGAAAACCGAGUGGAAAAUCAAAAAGGAAAAAUAUGAAAGAUAAAAAAUAAUAAUAAUUGUAAUAAAUUUCCCAGUAUCAAAAUCUAGCAAAGAUAUUAAGGUUAAAGAACUGACAAUGGUUAACGUAGACGGUAUAAAAAAUAACUUGACAUGUUCAUGUACUUCAUCCAAAUUCUUUAAAUCUUCUAGUUUUCAUGCGUUCAAUGAAAAGAAAAAUCCAUGGUAACUGAACUAGACCUUUAAAUAAGAAAAAGUAAUGCUCAUACAUUUAAUUCUGCUAGUUUUUCAACGAACAGUGAUGACAUUGUAUCGAAUUUAAAAGGCAUAAAAUAAGAAAAGAAACCGUAAUGUGUUGCACCAAAGUUAACAAAAUAAAUAAUAAAUUAUCAGUUAAAUUUGUAUGUUCUGAAACCCAAAAUCCCAAAACAAGUUUUUGACUCAAAAGUUUAAAAUUCUUAUGUUCCAAUUGUGUGAAAAUUUGUAUCACCUUGUUACGACAUUGAAUGUCAAACCAUGAUUGGUGUGCUCACGCAGUCGCUCAGAAAUGUUGUUUGCCUUAUAAAUGCAAGUCGAUGUGUCAGUAAACAAAAAGCAAAUUGCUUCCCACUUCUAUCUGUAUGUUUAAAAAUUAUAAUACUUUUUCAACCUACCAUGAACAGCUGACCAUGUAGUUUACACAUAAACACAUUGUUGGGACAAACAACACUUGUGUCUUGAAUUACACCAUUUUGGGGCUUGUUAACUUACAUAUCAAUUUUUAUGUCGUUGUUGGAAGGUGUUUACAGUUGACUGAACAAAUGCACUUAUUUGUGAAUUAUGUACAUCGUUUGAAUCUAAGUUAAAACAAAAACCAGUCAAAAAUGUUGGUGUUUUUUUGUAUCUGUAUCAUGUGCUAAAAAACUUACAAUUGCAAUGUGCUAAAAAACAUACAAUUGCAGUAUACGCGUACAUGCACAUGUGUACCUCUAAACUGUCCUAAUAUUAAGACCAGACAGUGAAUCUUUUCACAUUGAUAAAAACUGUAGACCUUUUGGGAUUUUUUAAAUUCAUUUCAAUAUGGGCUACUAAAUUAUUGUUAUGAAAUAUACAUUUUGCACAAUUAUUGCUUAUGCGUAAAAAAGUCCAGCUUUUAAAGCACUCUUUAACUCCUCACAAAGGAACGAGUUCAAAUAAAUUUUAAAUUAAAACAAAAUGGAAAAUAAAUAAAAUUGUUAUACAAAUUGUAACCCAUUUUCUUUAUACGUUGCAUUCUGAGAGUUUUUCCUGCUUUUUCCCACAGGGUUUUACAGGUUUUUUGACUCUCUAAUGCAACUAAUCGAUAAAGAAAUGGGGAUAUUCCAGAGCUGCCAACAUUUGCAUCUUGCAAUCCAGGAGAUUUUGUAAAAAAAAUUCAACACAAAGGAAAGUUUCCAAAAAGGGGAGAUUUUCAUCAAAAUGUGGAAAGAUUGUUCUUAUGUUCAGGGAACCUUGUGCAGAAUCUUGAAGUUGGCAGCUCUGGG